AACGAACGCUGGCGGCAUGCCUAACACAUGCAAGUCGAACGAGACCUUCGGGUCUAGUGGCGCACGGGUGCGUAACGCGUGGGAACCUGCCUUUAGGUUCGGAAUAACUCAGAGAAAUUUGAGCUAAUACCGGGAUAAUGUCUUCGGACCAAAGAUUUAUCGCCUUUAGAUGGGCCCGCGUUGGAUUAGCUAGUUGGUGGGGUAAAGGCCUACCAAGGCGACGAUCCAUAGCUGGUCUGAGAGGAUGAUCAGCCACACUGGGACUGAGACACGGCCCAGACUCCUACGGGAGGCAGCAGUGGGGAAUAUUCGGACAAUGGGCGGAAAG
rnacentral:rRNA from 1 species